UUUUGGUUUAAAAUUACGCUUCAUUGCCAUUUCGUGAACGGAUUUAUUAAUAUAUUUGAGGUUCAAUUUCACAAUUUCACUCGGUUUCUGACAUAGUAUUUUCGCAUUUCAGAUUCAUACUUGACAGACGUCGAAGGUGCCUGGUUCUUCCCAAUACGGUUCAACUCUGAAUUACUAUCCCAACGUUGUGCUGAAAAAUUCGUAUAAGGUCUCACGUCUUGGAUACAACGGCAGUUCAGCUCCAGCGACAAAAGCGGCGACUCCAGGAUCGACAUCAGCAGCAACGCAGUCUCCUCAGAGCGACGAUGGAGAGAGG
rnacentral:misc_RNA from 1 species